rnacentral:lncRNA from 13 species
AUGUCCAGCCUGGCCUUGGACACUGCCAGGGAUCCAGGGGCAGCCCCAGCUGCUCUGGGCACCCUGUGCCAGGGCCUGCCCACCCUCCCAGGGAACAAUUCCUGCCCAAGAUCUGUCUCUUAUACACAUCUAGAUGUGUAUAAGAGACAGGAACAAUUCCUGCCCAAGAUCCCAUCCAGCCCUGCCCUCUGGCACUGGGAAGCCAUUCCUUGUCCUGUCACUAGAUACCCUCGUUCAAAGUCCCUUUCCCACAUCACAACAAUUUCUCUACAGCAAAGCAGAAUGUUUAGGUGCCAGACUCAGCUGCUGGAGGGUCUCCCAAGCCUCCCACGCCAGGACCCCGGGCAACACUCCCUCUGUGCCCUGAGCCACCCUGGCUGUCCCAUUCCCAGCCCUGCCAUCUCUCUGGGGGCUGCUUGGAUUCUUGCUUGCUUUUUCAGGGAAUGCACGAUUCCACCUCCCGGCCAAAAGAAAGCACAGGAUAAAGGACACUUCAUCAUGGUCUCACUAACACCACAAAGCACAUCACACAGUACAGGAGAGUCGGGGCCUGGCGCUUCUCUAACGAAGCAAGGUAAGCUGGCAGCAUCAGCAGCGACACGUGUGGUGAUUCCCUCUCGGGGACUCCAGCAAGCCCGGACCCCUCUUUGGACGAAAAUCCCACCCCAUGUAAACAAUCCGUGUGGAAGGGGAGAAAGCAGCACCCCAUUGUCCCAGCUGGACAAGGAGAGCCCUUCCUUGGCCUCCCAGACUUCGGGGUGCAGGGCACCCCAGCUGCCCUCGCCACCCCCGCACCGCAAGCCCUGCCCCAGUCACAUUUUCGGGGAGGGGGGAAGGAGGGAAUGGAUUCCCUGGGUACCCCCAUCCCUGCGACAGCCCAAACAAGCCACACCUAAAGCGUCUUUUCACCCCGCAGGUUCUCAAAGUGCUUCGCAAACCACAGAGACACAGAGAGCGCCCGUGUCCCUCCUCCCCGGCCCCCCCGGCCGGAGCUCUCCUCCCCCGCGGUGCGGAACGCGGCCCCCCCAUUAUUGCAUAGCAUCGCAGGCCCUGAUUUCAGGGGGAUGGGCACAACCACCCCACGCGUGGGGACCAGCCCCGCCGGGGGGGGGGGGGACACGACGCCUCCCUCCCCACCCCCUCCGUUCCUGUGGCCUUCCCAUGGGAUGUGCCCCAGAGGCGUGGGACCACCCGGAUGGGGCCCACGGCUCCCCUGGCUCCUUACCCCGAGAGCAGACAAACGCCAUCCUACGAGGAUCCUUUAUCUUUUCUUUUUCUUUUUUUCUUUCUUUUUUUUUUUUUUUUUGGUGUUUUGUGUUUUUAAAUAAAAAAUAA